GCAAUUUUAGCUAAAUUGGUUAAGGCAUCUAACUUCGGAUUAGAAGAUUGGAGGUUCGAGCCCUUCAAGUUGCU
rnacentral:tRNA from 1 species